rnacentral:rRNA from 1 species
UACGUAGGGGGCAAGCGUUGUCCGGAUUUAUUGGGCGUAAAGAGCGUGUAGGCGGCUAUACAGGUCCGCUGUGAAAACUCGAGGCUCAACCUCGAGACGUCGGUGGAAACCGUAUGGCUAGAGUCCGGAAGAGGAGAGUGGAAUUCCUGGUGUAGCGGUGAAAUGCGCAGAUAUCAGGAAGAACACCCGUGGCGAAAGCGCUCUACUGGGCCAUAACUGACACUGAGGGACGAAAGCUAGGGGAGCGAAAGGG